rnacentral:rRNA from 1 species
GAUGGACGCUGGCGGCGUGCUUAACACAUGCAAGUCGAACGAUGAAGCCCAGCUUGCUGGGUGGAUUAGUGGCGAACGGGUGAGUAACACGUGAGUAACCUGCCCCCGACUCUGGGAUAAGCCCGGGAAACUGGGUCUAAUACCGGAUAUGACCAUGGAACGCAUGUUUUGUGGUGGAAAGAUUUAUCGGUGGGGGAUGGACUCGCGGCCUAUCAGCUUGUUGGUGAGGUAAUGGCUCACCAAGGCGACGACGGGUAGCCGGCCUGAGAGGGUGACCGGCCACACUGGGACUGAGACACGGCCCAG